AGAGUUUGAUCCUGGCUCAGAUUGAACGCUGGCGGCAGGCCUAACACAUGCAAGUCGAGCGGUAACAGAAAGUAGCUUGCUACUUUGCUGACGAGCGGCGGACGGGUGAGUAAUGCUUGGGAACAUGCCUUGAGGUGGGGGACAACAGUUGGAAACGACUGCUAAUACCGCAUAAUGUCUACGGACCAAAGGGGGCUUCGGCUCUCGCCUUUAGAUUGGCCCAAGUGGGAUUAGCUAGUUGGUGAGGUAAUGGCUCACCAAGGCGACGAUCCCUAGCUGGUUUGAGAGGAUGAUCAGCCACACUGGGACUGAGACACGGCCCAGACUCCUACGGGAGGCAGCAGUGGGGAAUAUUGCACAAUGGGCGCAAGCCUGAUGCAGCCAUGCCGCGUGUGUGAAGAAGGCCUUCGGGUUGUAAAGCACUUUCAGUCAGGAGGAAAGGUUAGUAGUUAAUACCCGCCAGCUGUGACGUUACUGACAGAAGAAGCACCGGCUAACUAAGGU
rnacentral:rRNA from 1 species